CGGGAGUAAAGUUUUGUUUAAACCGAAAAAAUAUUGACUGACUUUAGAUUUUUCUUUGGAAUAUGUGUUUUUUUGGAGAGCCCUCUUUUAUAGUGAAUUUUGUUGGCGCAUGUAUGAUUGUUUAGUUUUUACUUUUUUGGUAAUGCUUUGUGUUUUAUACAUUUAAAACAGAUAUAUAUUUGGCUUAUGGAUUUAUUUUUCAUGUGUUACUAUUGUUAAUUUUCUUUGGAUUAAUUUUUAAUUUUUUUGUUGAAAUUGGAAAAGAAAGUAAUUUUUUCUUAAUGUAAUAAUGAAUUUAAUAAAUAAAGUGGUACAAACCAUCCGUCAAUGGCCUAAAG
rnacentral:rRNA from 1 species